CUGAUGCAGCGACGCCGCGUGAGGGAUGACGGCCUUCGGGUUGUAAACCUCUGUUAGCAGGGAAGAAGAGAAAUUGACGGUACCUGCAGAGAAAGCGCCGGCUAACUACGUGCCAGCAGCCGCGGUAAUACGUAGGGCGCGAGCGUUGUCCGGAAUUAUUGGGCGUAAAGAGCUUGUAGGCGGUUUGUCGCGUCUGCUGUGAAAGGCCGGGGCUUAACCCCGUGUAUUGCAGUGGGUACGGGCAGACUAGAGUGCAGUAGGGGAGACUGGAACUCCUGGUGUAGCGGUGGAAUGCGCAGAUAUCAGGAAGAACACCGAUGGCGAAGGCAGGUCUCUGGGCUGUAACUGACGCUGAGAAGCGAAAGCAUGGGGAGCGAACA
rnacentral:rRNA from 1 species